CUGUAGUGCAUUGCAUUUGCAGUGUGUAAUGGAGUGAAUUUCGACGCUUAAACGGUAGUGCAUUGCAUUUGCAGUGCAAAAUGG
rnacentral:pre_miRNA from 13 species